rnacentral:tRNA from 1 species
GCCGGGGUGGCGGAAUUGGCAGACGCGUCGGACUCAAAAUCCGAUGGGGCCUGCCCCCGUGCGGGUUCAAGUCCCGCCCCCGGCACCA